GAAGGGCUUCCGCCAGGGCCGCCACUGGAGAGCAGCAGCCAUGGCUCUACGCUACCCUAUGGCCGUGGGCCUCAACAAGGGCCACAAGGUGACCAAGAACGUGAGCAAGCCCAGGCACAGCCGCCGCCGCGGGCGUCUGAUGAAACACACCAAGUUCAUGUGGGACAUGAUUCGGGAGGUGUGUGGCUUUGCCCCGUACGAGCGGCGCGCCAUGGAGUUACUGAAGGUCUCCAAGGACAAACGGGCCCUCAAGUUUAUCAAGAAAAGGGUGGGGACGCACAUCCGCGCCAAGAGGAAGCGGGAGGAGCUGAGCAAUGUAUUGGCAGCUAUGAGGAAAGCUGCUGCCAAGAAAGACUGAGCCCCCUCCCCUGGCUUCUCCCUGAAAUAAAGAACAGCUUGACAGAAAAAAAAAAAAAAAAAAAAAAA